rnacentral:rRNA from 1 species
CCCUUAGAUGUUCUGGGCCGCACGCGCGCUACACUGAUGAAUUCAACGAGUUUUCCACCUUGACCGAGAGGUCCGGGAAAUCUUUUCAACUUUCAUCGUGCUGGGGAUAGAUUAUUGCAAUUGUUAAUCUUGAACGAGGAAUUCCUAGUAAGCGCGAGUCAUCAGCUCGCGUUGAUUACGUCCCUGCCCUUUGUACACACCGCCCGUCGCUCCUACCGAUUGAAUGGUCCGGUGAAGCGUUCGGACCGUGGCCUUUGGACGGUUCGCCGUCUGUUGGCUGCGGGAAGUUCGUUAAACCUUAUCAUUUAGAGGAAGGAGAAGUCGUAACA